rnacentral:misc_RNA from 1 species
AAUACAUCAAGUAGGAGAGUCAACCAUGACGAACUUGUUGGCAAAGUUCCUCUUCUGUGAUCCCAAUCGGUUGGUUGGGUUGCGAGGGGGGCAAGAACACAGAGAACUUCUCCCAAUCAGGAAAGUAGCAUGUCAGGUUACAUUGUAUUGGAUAAACGCUACAGCUUUGCACUAGCUUGUUUCUAGUUUUAUCUUUACUCUUUUCGGAUAGAAAGUUUGUACAGGGAAAGGACAAUAAUGAAAGAAGGGCACUCCUUGUUCUUUAUCCUUG